UGACUGCUGAAGCCUCACAAAUUUAC
rnacentral:piRNA from 1 species